GACGAACGCUGGCGGCGUGCCUAAUACAUGCAAGUAGAACGCACAGUUUAUACCGUAGCUUGCUACACCAUAAACUGUGAGUUGCGAACGGGUGAGUAACGCGUAGGUAACCUGCCUGGUAGCGGGGGAUAACUAUUGGAAACGAUAGCUAAUACCGCAUAAUAUUGAUUAUUGCAUGAUAAUUGAUUGAAAGAUGCUAUUGCAUCACUACCAGAUGGACCUGCGUUGUAUUAGCUAGUAGGUGAGGUAACGGCUCACCUAGGCGACGAUACAUAGCCGACCUGAGAGGUGAUCGGCCACACUGGGACUGAGACACGGCCCAGACUCCUACGGGAGGCAGCAGUAGGGAAUCUUCGGCAAUGGACGAAAGUCUGACCGAGCAACGCCGCGUGAGUGAAGAAGGUUUUCGGAUCGUAAAGCUCUGUUGUAAGAGAAGAACGGGUGUGAGAGUGGAAAGUUCACACUGUGACGGUAUCUUACCAGAAAGGGACGGCUAACUACGUG
rnacentral:rRNA from 1 species